rnacentral:rRNA from 1 species
AGCGUAGACGGCACGGCAAGCCAGAUGUGAAAGCCCGGGGCUCAACCCCGGGACUGCAUUUGGAACUGCUGAGCUAGAGUGUCGGAGAGGCAAGUGGAAUUCCUAGUGUAGCGGUGAAAUGCGUAGAUAUUAGGAGGAACACCAGUGGCGAAGGCGGCUUGCUGGACGAUGACUGACGUUGAGGCUCGAAAGCGUGGGAGCAAACA